rnacentral:rRNA from 1 species
UUCCGCCGCGGUAAUUCCAGCUCCAAUAGCGUAUAUUAAAGUUGUUGCAGUUAAAAAGCUCGUAGUUGAAUUUCGGGGUUCUACCGUUGGUCGGGCUUUGUCUGUACUGGCGUGUAGAAUUUCUACCUUCUGGGGAACCAUCAUGUUAUUAAUUUAACGUGGUGGGAAACCAGGACCUUUACCUUGAAAAAAUUAGAGUGUUCAAAGCAGGCUUAUGUCUGAAUACAUUAGCAUGGAAUAAUAAAAUAGGACGGUGGUCCUGUUUUGUUGGUUUCUGAAUCACCGUAAUGAUUAAUAGGGAUAGUUGGGGGCAUUAGUAUUCAAUUGUCAGAGGUGAAAUUCUUGGAUUUAU